rnacentral:rRNA from 1 species
AACGAACGCUGGCGGCAGGCUUAACACAUGCAAGUCGAGCGCCCCGCAAGGGGAGCGGCAGACGGGUGAGUAACGCGUGGGAAUCUACCCAUCUCUACGGAAUAACGCAUGGAAACGUGUGCUAAUACCGUAUGCGUCCUUCGGGAGAAAGAUUUAUCGGAGAUGGAUGAGCCCGCGUUGGAUUAGCUAGUUGGUGGGGUAAAGGCCUACCAAGGCGACGAUCCAUAGCUGGUCUGAGAGGAUGAUCAGCCACACUGGGACUGAGACACGGCCCAGACUCCUACGGGAGGCAGCAGUGGGGAAUAUUGGACAAUGGGCGCAAGCCUGAUCCAGCCAUGCCGCGUGAGUGAUGAAGGCCCUAGGGUUGUAAAGCUCUUUCACCGGUGAAGAUAAUGGCGGUAACCGGAGAAGAAGCCCCGGCUAACUUCGUGCCAGCAGCCGCCGUAAGAC